ACAUGCAGUCGAGCGAGCUGAAUUCAAAGAUUCCUUCGGGAUGAUUUGUUGGACGCUAGCGGCGGAUGGGUGAGUAACACGUGGGCAAUCUGCCCUAAAGACUGGGAUACCACUUGGAAACAGGUGCUAAUACCGGAUAACAACAUGAAUCGCAUGAUUCAAGUUUGAAAGGCGGCGUAAGCUGUCACUUUAGGAUGAGCCCGCGGCGCAUUAGCUAGUUGGUGGGGUAAAGGCCUACCAAGGCAAUGAUGCGUAGCCGAGUUGAGAGACUGAUCGGCCACAUUGGGACUGAGACACGGCCCAAACUCCUACGGGAGGCAGCAGUAGGGAAUCUUCCACAAUGGACGCAAGUCUGAUGGAGCAACGCCGCGUGAGUGAAGAAGGUUUUCGGAUCGUAAAGCUCUGUUGUUGGUGAAGAAGGAUAGAGGCAGUAACUGGUCUUUAUUUGACGGUAAUCAACCAGAAAGUCACGGCUAACUACGUGCCAGCAGCCGCGGUAAUACGUAGGUGGCAAGCGUUGUCCGGAUUUAUUGGGCGUAAAGCGAGCGCAGGCGGAAUGAUAAGUCUGAUGUGAAAGCCCACGGCUCAACCGUGGAACUGCAUCGGAAACUGUCAUUCUUGAGUGCAGAAGAGGAGAGUGGAAUUCCAUGUGUAGCGGUGGAAUGCGUAGAUAUAUGGAAGAACACCAGUGGCGAAGGCGGCUCUCUGGUCUGCAACUGACGCUGAGGCUCGAAAGCAUGGGUAGCGAACAGGAUUAGAUACCCUGGUAGUCCAUGCCGUAAACGAUGAGCGCUAGGUGUUGGGGACUUUCCGGUCCUCAGUGCCGCAGCAAACGCAUUAAGCGCUCCGCCUG
rnacentral:rRNA from 1 species